AUAAGUUGGCUUGGGAUAUUGACAAAGACCAAAAAUGAUUAAGGCUUCUCCUGGUCCUCUUUCUUGCUUCUACUAUACAGACAUGGAUGUUUAGGGAAGAAAGAUUUUACUACUCAGUCGGUCCUCUUGAAAGCAAGAAUAUCUUGGUGGAAUUUGAGGCCAGAUAUCAAAUCCUUCAAUGUGCUAGUUUGCAUUUUAACCUCUGAGUUGCCUGCUGGGAUGUGGCUGUGCAGGAAUCGUCUCACAUCAGCUAACUGGUGGCUUUGUCUUUCCCCAGUGCCAGAGUAGGCUGCUUUUCCACACCAUUAAAGAGCUAUACAGGAACCCACAGAGGAGGAACUCAGGCUAGACAAGGUUUGUCUUAAAUGCAUUCUUUUCUAAACUAUUUA
rnacentral:lncRNA from 1 species